rnacentral:rRNA from 1 species
CUACGGGUUGCAGCAGUAGGGAAUAUUGCGCAAUGGGCGAAAGCCUGACGCAGCAAUACCGCAUGAGUGAGGAAGGUUUUCGGAUUGUAAAGCUCCGUCAGAAUGGAAAAACGGCAUAUUAUCUAAUAGGUAGUAUGUUUGAUGGUACAUUCAAAGGAGGCACCGGCUAACUUCGUGCCAGCAGCCGCGGUAAUACGAAGGGUGCAAGCGUUAUUCGGAUUUAUUGGGCGUAAAGCGCGCGUAGGCGGAUUGUUAAGUCAGAUGUGAAAUCUCGGGGCUCAACCCCGAAACUGCGUCUGAACUAAGAAUCUAGAAUCAUGGAGAGGGAAGGGGAAUUUCGCAUGUAGGGGUAAAAUCCGUAGAGAUGCGAAAGAACACCAGAGGCGAAGGCGCCUUCCUGGACAUGUAUUGACGCUGAGGCGCGAAAGCGUGGGGAGCAAACAGGAUUAGAUACCCCCGUAGUC